rnacentral:lncRNA from 1 species
UUUCUAACCUAACCUCUGAAGUCAUGCCAUGUCACUUCUGCUGAGUUCCAUUAAUUAAAAAUGAGUCACUGAGGGCCAGGCACAGUGGCUCAUGCCUGUAAUCUCAGUAUUUUGGGAGGCCGAGGUGGGCAGAUCACUUAAAGUCAGAAUUCACAAUAAUAUAAUAAUCACUGGUAAAAGUAAGUAUAUUAUCAAAUGCAGAAUAAGGUAAAACUUUGAGUGUCAUGUAAAUAACAUAUCUCUAAUAGAAAAGAUAAAACGCAGGUAAAAGUAGUAACAGUAUAGUUUUGUACGUGAUUGAAUUUAUCAGCUUAAAUAACCUGUCAUAACUAUAAUAAGUUUUAUGUAGACUUUAAGGUAAGCAGAAAGCAAAAAUGUAUAGGAGAUCUAAAAAAAAUACAAAGAGGAAGGAAUCAAAGCAUACAACUACAGAAAAUAGAUAUGAGAUGUUGAAGUCCUUAAACAGGUUGGUGGAUUUGUCUAUUUGUCUAUUUGUCCUUUCAACUCUUAGUUUUUGUUUAGUGUAUUUUGAGGCUCUGUUGUGUGCUUGUAUGUAUGCACACAUUUUUAAUAAUUUAUUUCUAUUUUUUUACUGUUACAUAAUCUCUCUUUUUUUCUAUAGGGAUAUUCUUUGUUUUGAAUUUACUUUAUUCUGACAUUAAUAUGUCACUUUUUCAUUUUUAAUUAUUGUUUAUAUAAUCAGUUCUUUUAUUUUCAGUGUGUAUGUGCUGUUGUAUCUAUCUUUUGUUGUAAUCCCACAGGUUCCUGAAGCCUUGCUCAUUUAUUUUUUUCAUUUUAUUUUCUCUCUGGUGUUCAGACUGGCUAAUUUAUAUUGUUCUAUGGUCUGGUUCACUGAUUCUUUCCUCUCUCCUCUCUAUUCUGCUCUUCAGCCCAUCCAAUGAGUUUUUUCUAAAUUCAUACAUAUAUAUGUGUAUGAAUAUAUGUAUAAAAUUUUUACAUAUAUAUAGAGAGAGAGAGUUGGUGCUUCAGCUGGAGUCUGAAGACAGUCUUCUUGAUGGAUUCGCUCUUUUUUGGGGGAUAUCAGUCUUUUUCUUAAGGUCUUCAACUUACUGAAUGAGGCCCACUCACAUUACAGAGGGAAAUCUGUUUCACUCAAAGUUUGUUGAUUUAAAUGUUAACCUCAUCUGAAAACACACUGUUUCAGUAUUAUCCAGAAGAGUUUGACCUAAUAUGUCAGUAGCAUGGCCUAGUCAAGUUGACAAAUAAAAUUAGCCAGAAGACAAGUUGCUGUACGUAUGAAAAUGUACAUAUGUAAUUACACAGUCUACCUGUAUCAACGUUUUUUCACUUUGAGUAAAGUUUAGAAACAUUACUUUACCUUCUCCAUAUAAAAAACAUGAUUGUAUUAAGCAUUUCUUCUGCAUACAUUGAAUAUAAUUCAAUGACAAAUAUCAGAUGUUUUCAUAAUUUUUGCUUCUACUAUUGAAUAUGAUUUAAGUAACCUACAAGAAGAAAGAUACUAUAUUUAUACUCCUCUUUUUAAACAUUUUAAUGUAAUUCUUUCCUUUCUGUAAUUUUAAGACUUCUUUUGUUAUCAUGUUCUUUCUCUCUAAAGAGCUUAACUAUUUUUUAAGAGCAAGUUUGUUAGCAAUAAAUUACCUUAGUUUUUCUUCAUCUGACAAUGUCUUUAUUCAUGUUUACCAGUUAUAGAAUUUGUGGUUUACAGGGUUUUUUUUCCAGCAUUUAAAACAAACUAAGCCACUCUCUUCUUGCCUCCAAUGAUUCAGAUGAGAAAUCCACUGCCAUUUGAAUUAGUGUUUCCUUAUAAAAAGUUAUAUGACAUUUUCAGGAGUUUGAAACCAGCCUGACCAACAUGGAGAAACCCUGUCUCCACUAAAAAUACAAAAUUAGCCUGGUGUGGUGGUGCAUGCCUGUAAUCCCAGCUACUCAGGAGGCUGAGGCAGGAGAAUUGCUUGAACCCAGAAGGCGGAGGUUGCACUGAGCCGAGAUCACGCCAUUGUACCCCCCAAAAAAAAAGUUAUCUGACAUUUUUUCCUGUGGUUGUUUCAAGAUUUUAUUUUUGCCAUUAGUUUUCAAAAGUUUAAUUAUUAUGUGUCUUGGUGUGGAUUUCCUUGGGCUUACCCUGCUUCAUUUUUUUUUUUUUUUUUGGUAGUCUUGAAUUCAUAGGUUAACCUUUUUUUAUUGUUGUUAAGUUUGGAAAAGCCAUUAUUUCUGUGAAAUAAAACCAUAUUUCCUCUAAUCUUUUUUAGUCCUACUCUGCUGCUCCUUUUCUGAAGUUCUGAGGAUACAGACAUUCUAUCUUUUGUUGUAAUCCCACAAGUUCCCGAAGCUCUGCUCAUUUUUCUUUUUCAUUUUAUUUUCUCUCUGGUGUUCAGACUAGCUAAUUUAUAUUGUUCUAUGGUCUGGUUCACUGAUUCUUUCCUCUCCCCUCUCUAUUCUGCUCUUCAGCCCAUCCAAGGAGUUUUUUUUUUUUUUUUUAAAUUCUGUUAUGGUAUUUGAAUUAUAAAAUUUCCAUUUGCUUCUUCUUUGCAUUUUCUAUUUAUUUGCUCAGACAGUCUAUUUCUCACUUCUUUGAAUUACGUAUGUAUUUUCUCUUUAAAGAAUAGCAGGCCCUUGUUAACAUUGUUUUGUUCAACAUUAUUUCAUUAUAACAUUGAUGAGUAUAUUAGUCAGGGUUCUCUAGAGGGACAGAACUAAUAGGAUAAAUGUACAUAUGAAGGGGAGUUUAUUAAGGAGUAUUGACUCACAUGAUCACAAGGUGAAGUCCCACAAUAGGCCAU